rnacentral:rRNA from 1 species
CAGCCGCCGCGGUAAAACCAGCACCUCAAGUGGUCAGGAGGAUUAUUGGGCCUAAAGCAUCCGUAGCCGGUUCUGUAAGUUUCCGGUUAAAUCCACUAGCUCAACUAAUGGGCUGCCGGAAAUACUGCAGAACUAGGGAGUGGGAGAGGUAGACGGUACUCGGGAGGAAGGGGUAAAAUCCUUUGAUCUCUUGAUGACCACCUGUGGCGAAGGCGGUCUACCAGAACACGUUCGACGGUGAGGGAUGAAAGCUGGGGGAGCAAACCGGAUUAGAUACCCGGGUAGUCCCAGCUGUAAACUAUGCAAACUCAGUGAUGCAUUGGCUUAUGGCCAAUGCAGUGCUGCAGGGAAGCCGUUAAGUUUGCCGCCUGGGAAGUACGUACGCAAGUAUGAAACUUAAAGGAAUUGGCGGGGGAGCACCA